rnacentral:lncRNA from 1 species
UUGACGGUGCUGGCAAUCAUCUCUUGCAACUGUUGGAUAGAAAGAGAUCCCAUGAGUGCCGCUUCUUGGUCUGGCUCCGGCUUCACAUCGAUUUUCUCCACCGUAGGCUCAUCUUCUGGGUUAGGGUUCUCGCUGUCCUGUGGCUCCAGUUGACUGAUGAGUGCAGCGAUUUGCAAGUCUUUUUCUUCCACAGUUCGGGUUAGCCUUGCGAUUGCUUCAUUCAUUUGAGCCAGUUGUUCUUCGAUGGAGGUAACGCCGAUGGUCAUGACUUGUGCAACCAAUAGACGUGACUUUCCUUUAGACAUCCAAGAUGCUGAAGAAGAACGUCAUUGGUUGUUUUGGGAUGUCAUCUUGUGUGCCUCAGCAACAUGCUUUGGUGCCCCCAGCGAGGUCAGGUUGAUGACAGACUCACACCUUUGAUGCUCCCUUUGCUCUUUUAGCGGCACCAACUUUGAAGUGGCAUGUUAAGGAGCGGUUGUGGUGCUAAUGGAUUGUCCAUUUGCGGCAGAAGUGCUUAGGAUCCUUCCCUCAGUGAUUGCGAGAACGGCUUGUCCCUUGCUUGAUGCCAUUGAUUUUGAGGUGUGUUUGGAUUCCUUAAACGGAGAAAGAUAUGAGAGGUAGAGAUUGUCCCACCGGGCGUGCCAAUUUGUGAACACGAAAAUUUCCUGAAACGAAAGAGACAAGAACAACGUGCACAAAAUAAUAUUUUGGUGUUAAUGGAUUUGUUGGGUUACGAUCUCUUUUAACUUGAUCCUCUGAUUCGAUCUCCGUAAGGUGUUGAUUUAUGGAUGUUUCGUUGAUCUAAGGGCCGUCGAGGCUUGAUCUUGGAUGAACUGUUGGAAGUUUCUUCAAGGGGCCGUGGGCUUGAUCUUUGAAGGUGGAUUUGAGCGGAUCUUCAAGGAGCCGUUGGGGCUUGAUCUUGAGGAUGAGUGUUUCUUCAAGGGCCGUUAAGGCUUGAUCUUGAAUAACGGUGAUGAACGGAUCUUCAAGGGCUUUUGGGCUUGAUCUUGAAGAACGGUUGGAUGUGUGGAUUUGUUGAUGUUGUUGAUCCAAGGGCCGUCGGGGCUUGAUCUUGGAAGAACGAUGAACGAAGAACGAAGAACACUUUCUUCAAAGGCCGUCGGGGCUUGAUCUUGAAUUGGUGAUUGUUGAUCCAAGGGCCGUCGGGGCUUGAUCUUGGAAGAACGGUGAACGAAGAAUGAAGAACGAAGAACACUUUCUUCAAGGGCCGUCGGGGCUUGAUCUUGAAUUGGUGAUUGUUAAUCAAAGGGCCGUCGGGGCUUGAUCUUGGAAGAACGAUGAACGAAGAACGAAGAAGGCUUUCUUGAUUCUUCGGGAUGAACGGAUGAUGAACAAUGAACACUUUCUUCAAGGGCCAUCGGGGCUUGAUCUUGAAUUGGUGGAAGUUCUUCAGGGCCUUUGGGGCUUGAUCUUGAAGGUGGAUGAUUGUUGAUCCAAGGGCCGUCGGGGCUUGAUCUUGGGAUGAACAGUUGUGUGGAUUUGUUGAACACUUUCUUCAAGGGCCGUCGAUGCUUGAUCUUGAAUUGGUGGAAGUUCGUCAAGGGCCGUUGGGGCUUGAUCUUGAAGAAGGAUUUGACGAAGAACGAAGAGAGCUUUCUUGAUCCUUCGGAAUUUGCUUGAAUUUGGGAGGUUGGAUGCUUGAAAGCUUUAGAGUUUCAAAGCUUCAAGGAUUUUGGAUGUGUGGGGAGUAUUCUCUUACAUUUUGGGAGUAGAGAAAUGUAUUUGUGAAUUGGUUUUUGAUACCUUGAUGUAGAAGCCUAUUUAUAGGCUUUGAGAAUGAAUCACCACCACAAAAUAUUUUUUUCUUUUCCAAGCACCAUUGCCUAAUUUCCCACUUAAUACAAUUUUAAACUUGAAGUGGUAAUUUUAUGGCCUAAUUUUCCACUUAAUAUCAUUUUAAACUUGAUAUGUGCAUGCUUUGUCAUUGCCCAAAAUGAGAAGAAAACCUUGUUUUGAUCUUCAAUGGAUUGAAAUGUGCUUUGCCUUGUCAUUGCCCAAAAUGAGAAGAAAAACUUGUGUAAUCCUCCAAGGGUAUUUCUUUUUAUUUUGUUGAGUCACACACCAUGUGUACAAUUUGUAUGACACGUGGCAUAUGCCAUAUAUGCCUUGACACGUCAAAAUUUUAAUGCGUUGGUGAACAUUUAUUUCACCGCAAUUUCGAUGUCUACAAUUUCAUUUCUUGUGAAUAAUGUUUAUCCUGUGUUCUGUCCAAUCGCGUAUUAAAAAAUGUGUGAAGUUUGGAUUAACCACACUCUUUUAGAAUUUCCUUUAUUUACCACUUUUUGAGAAUUUCCAAUAAGACUGGGUGAGUCUCCGCUGAGAAUUUCCUCAACUAACACCACACUACUUGAGGGAUAAUUUGUUAUAUCUUUGAAUAAAGAAUAAAACAGUUUCCUACUUUUGAAGGUACUAUUAACUUACACUAUAUUUGGAUGAAGGUCAAACUUUAUAAAUUGACAUACACCAAAUUCUUUGUUUGGAUUCAUAAACAUAUAAAUUUAGAAUUUCCGCGUGGAAAAAAAAAAUACUUAGAAUUUGAGACCUCCAAUUCUCAAAUUGAAAGUUUAAAAAUAAUAAAUUCCGUAUUCAAUUCAAUUGUUCUUUUAGGUUAACCAAAUAAGAAAAUUCACAAAUUCUAAAAUAUAAAAUCUCAUCAUUUCAAUUUCCGUCAUUUUAAAAUUCCUUAGUAAUAUUAAAUUUCUUCAUCCAAACAUAGUGUUAAGAAAUUUUUUAAAGAUACACUAUUUACACUCAUUUUUAUUUCUUACACAUUUAUUAACUUUGUCCAUUGAUUUCUUCAAUUCAUUUUGCCAGUUAUACAAAAAUUGAGAACAGUAUUUAUGAAUUAAAAAUACAUUUGUAGAUGUCACUACCAAAUUUUUAUUCCUAAUUCAAGAAAAUCUUAUCCAUAUAUGAUUGCCCUUGCCCACUUUAAAUGGGUGCCAUCACUUUACGAUAGAGCAAUCCUAACCGUCCACCUAGGUAAGCAUAACUGGCGAUGCAUGUCGCAAGGGGACCGCAUUGCACAAUAUAAUUAUACUAGUUGAUAAGACAAGUGAUGUCAAUCAAUAAAUUAUUUCAUUAAAACUUAGUUGUAUGUAUCAUAUGUUGUAAUGUAGGGUGUAUGAUAUGCUGACGCUGUAAAAAAAUGUAACCUUUUUAAUAUUACUCAUAAUAGUAAGACUUACCAGUAUUAGGAUGUUAUCAGUGGAAUGAGAAUCCUCUCCAGAUCUUUUUUGUGAGCUAUUAUUUGUAUUUAAUUUUAAAUAUAAAAAAUUAAAAUAAUUUAUGACGGCAGUGAUUCACAUGAUCUUCACAAAGAGAAUCCAAAUAAUCUUAAUUUAUAUCAGUGUGUCUAGAUAACAUGAUCGAGCCCCUUUACUUUUACCCUAUUUAGUAUUUUACAUUUGAACCUGUAAAUAUUCGAUUUUUCUUUGGUGCAACCGAGCACCAAAUAUAGAUUUUUUUUCACUUUUAUAUAAUGAUAAAUAAAGGGCAAUUGGCAGAUUUGAAUUCCAUUCGGAUUGGUCAAAAAUCAUUUUAAAUUGUUUUAUUUAAAAUUAAACACAUAUAGUACUUAAUAAAAAUUAGUCGUACAAUAUACGAUAAACAGAUAUAAUGUAAGGACCUUUAUGAUCUUCACAAAAAAGAUCCAAAGGUUGUGUAGCUGUUUCAAAAGGAUAAUACUCACUUUUGAUUAGUUCAAUGAAAUUUUAAACAUGUUUUAUUGUUUUAAAAAAUAAUAAACAUAUUUAUUAAUGUUUGUUUUACUUUAAAAAAUAAGCAGCACUUGACAACAUUUGAUUGUGCUAAAUAAAAAAUGAGUGACCACUUAGUACUACAGUCUUAUGAUAUUUUUCUUCAUUUGAAAGUGAGAGGUUUUAAGUUCGAAUCUCGUGGAUGACGAAUUUGAUAUCAAAUUAGAUUGCUCACUAUGUGGCUUAGCCGAACUCUCAUUUCCUUUAAUGUAAAAAUAUUGAUGUAUUCAAAAAAAUAAAAAGUGACUAUAGAGGACACUCAAUCUCAGCUGUAUGAUUAAAUCAGACGGUAAGAAAAAUUCUGCAAGCAUACUCGGUUACAUUAAUUGAAGAAAAAAUGGGUAAAUAUUGGGCACCAACGUUAUAAAUACCCUCCACCAUGCACCCAACUCCCUCACACCAUCACAACCCACGUUACAAAUCCUCCUCCUCAUCAUAACCAUUCUGUUUUCCGCAUAAUAUCCAAAAACCUAUCAUGUCUGAAGAGAAACACCACCGCGGUCUCUUCCACCACCACAAGGAUGAAGACAAACCCUCAGACUACCCUCAGUCUGGCUACUCUGAUGAAGGACGUCCCGGCGGCCUCGGUGGUGGUUACGGCGACACCAAUGAUUAUUCUGGUGAAGGACGUACCGGCGGCCUAGGUGGUGGCUAUGGCGACACCAAUGCUUAUUCUGGUGAAGGACGUCCCGGCGGCUAUGGCGGCUAUAACGAGACCACUGCUUACUCUGAGGAAAGAGUUGAAAGACCCGGCGGUGGCCGGUACAGUGAGACUACUGCGGCAUAUGGCAGCACCACCACUCAUGAAUCUGAACUUGAUUACAAGAAGGAGGAGAAGCACCACAAGCAUCUCGAGCACCUCGGCGAGGCCGGUGUAGCUGCUGCCGGCGCUUUUGCCUUGGUACGUAUUGUAUUUUAACCCACCUCUAUAUAUAUAUAUAUUAGAAUAAUGCUAAUAAGACCAAAUUUUGAAAACUAAAUGAUGUGGUUGUUGAUAAUGAACUUAUUACUCAAGUCUUGAUUAACAUGCUUAUUUUCUAAUAGUGACACAUUAUUUGGUUUAGAAAUUUGGUCUUCCUAACUUUAUCAUUCUCAAAAUUUUCAUGAUUUUGAUAGGGUAAUACGGGAGAUCAAAAUUUCUAAACCAAAUUUGCAAACCAAUAGAUGAUUGGAUUAUUAAUUAAGUAUCGAUUGUUUGUUUCUUAUUAACGACAUAUCAUUUGAUUUACAAUUUAGUUAAAAAAAAUUUAUUCUUUCUGUCAUAUCCUUUUGAAUAUUUGAUCACUUUACUCUUUAUCACUUUACCCUUGAUCACUUUACCCAUACUCUUGCAACCGAAUCACCGUCCUCCUCCUUAACCUUCAUUUUUUUGUCUUACAGUACUCCAAUCUAUCAACUCUGUCCAUUGCAACUUUAAUUGUGAAGAAAAUUAAAGUCCUAUCGUAAAAUUAAUUAGUGAUAUGGAGAGUUGCGCAAUUAUUGAUGGACUAGGUAGGUAAGAUACGGAAUCAAAGUCUACCAUUAACAAUGGACGGAAUUGAUGAACCAUAUAGGUAUGUAAGAUACGGAAUCAAAGUCCUCAUGUAAAUGGUACAGUUGCAAUCAGGAGAAGAAAUGAGUUAACUGAUACCUUCGUAAUAGUUCAUGUAGAGUUUUGAUAUUAUUAAGCCUUAACCACCUGAUCUUAUAUAUACGAGGACAAAUCUAAUCAAAUAUGUGUUAAUUUCAAGGUUUGUUUUACAUUGAUGUGAGAUCGAUGCUAGCAAGAUAUAUAACUUAUGUCAGUUUCUAUAUGAUGUGUGUAGCAUGAGAAGCACAAUGAAAAGAAAGACCCAGAGCAUGCCCACAGGCACAAGAUAGAAGAGGAGAUUGCUGCAGCAGCUGCAGUUGGUUCGGGUGGAUUUGCCUUCCAUGAGCAUCAUGAGAAGAAAGAGACAAAGGAAGAAGAGGAAGAGGCUUAUGGAAAGAAGAAGCACCACCACUUCUAGAUCUAUGUGGAUUGUGGAACAUCAUCUUUUGACUACAUAUGCAAUGUUGUGUUUUUACUAGUUAUCAUGUGGUGUGAUCAGUGAGAGUGUGAUGCUUAAUCUCAACAAUAUCGCUACAAUAGUUGAGUGGUUAAAUGUCCUUUUCAAUUAAUGGGUGCUAUCUGGUUUUCUUUUAGCAUGCCAUCUAUGUAUGUAUGUAUGUAUGUAUGUCAUUGUUAUUGUUCAUAAUAAUACUGUUUACUCGGUGUUUAUUUCCUAGUGGCCACAUCUCAUUUUAAAUGAUUUCUUCAUACCAUUAAUUUUUUAAAUGUAAAGACUCAGUAUCCAUAUAACUACGAAAAUUUUUGACAAAACAAAAACAAGAAAAAAGAAAAGGAAAAAAUGGCUUAGCAAGUUUGUAUCCUAUAAGACAAAUGGGUACGUGGAACGAUGGACAUCUCACAAUGGUUUUUGAAUCGUCGGAUCAUCAUGGUUGGACUAUAUAAUUAUCAUUGAUAUAAUAUAAAUUUUGAUUUUUUUUUAGGAAAUUAAUAUCUGAAAACAAUAUUGAUGUACUGCAUUUGUUUUGGACGAUAUUAUACUUUAAUCCAAAUUUUGAGAAAAAAAAAACAUAUCGAACUCAGGUGUACAAGAGUGGCUUUGCUACCCAUGUACAGGGCUAGUUCUGAGUUUUUGGGUGCCCAGUGCGAAAGCUCAAAAUGUGACAUUUUUUAAUACGAAAACAUAUAUUAAAAAAAAUAUUUAAUGAGGGCUGGAACCCAGUCGAAGCUGGAGGGCUAGGACCUCACGCCCAAAUUAUAUUACUUGAGAAAAUAUACAACUGAGGAGGGGACAUGGUACCUAAACCCCGACAAUCAAAAGUACAAUCAUAUACAACCACUCCUAGCAAAUCUCCUUCAAAUUUCAACCUUUAAGAAAUUGUCUUCUGGCAUUUUUUGAAGCAAAAUCAUCAAUUAUAUCAUCAUACUCCAAGUCUUCAAUCUCAUCAUUUUCAAUGCAUAAGAUUGCUAAUCCAUUUAGCCUAUCUUGAGUCAUAGUGGUCCGCAAGUAAGAUUUUAAUAAUUUCAAUUUUGAAAAACUUCUUUUUGCAGAUGCCAUGGUCACAAGUACAGUUAACAGUACACGAUAAGCAAUCAAGACAUUAGGACACAUGUCAGUUUCUUUUACAAAAUUUGCUAUUUCCAUGGAUGUCCAAGGGUUAUUAGAGAGAAAUGCUUCUUCAGGUAAUAUCAUUUGCAAAACCUGCAAUUCGGAAUAUAAGUCAACUCCAUCUACAUCCAUGGUAUUUCCAUGUUUCAAAUGUGCUUCAAGAUUCAUACAAUUUUCUUUUAGCUCUUGAUCAUCCAAUGAAAUUAACUUUGGUGCAUCAAACAAGAAGCCAAAAAUAGAUUCAAAGGAUUUUAACUGUUCAAACUUGUGUUUCAGUUGAGAAAGAGCAAUAUCCACUAUAACAAGAAAAUAAUAUUUCCUAAAUGAUUCUUUAGCAGAUUAUUGUUCCCUCUCAUUACCAUCAACUUCAUCAUGAUGUCUUUUUCUAGGUCUAUGACAUUUAGUUUGAAAAAACAGGGUCAAUUUCCAAAUCAAGUGCAAUUUCAUUAGCAUCACUCAUGGCGGAAGCAAAACCAGUUUCUCUGUAGUUUCCAAAAAAUGUAACAAAUGCUUCAAAUGCCUUUACAGCAACAUCAAGACGCAUGUCUUUAGAUUGUAAUUUUAUGCUCACCAUGUUAAUCUUCAACAAAAUGUCAUACUAAAUAACCAAACUUAAUACAAAAUCAAAACUUGAAAGUUCGCCUGAUGCUAAACAUCUUGCAUCCCUACUUAAUUGAGGAUUUUCAGUAAUUUCCACCAAUUAAACAAAGCAUUUCUAACCUGGGCUACUUGAGACUUAAUUGCUUUAACAUUUUCAAUGUGACUUUCCCAUCGAGUAGUUGACAAUGACUUCAAAGUUAAACCAUCAAUAUGUUCAACCAAAAUAUUCCAACGCUUUGUAGAGUUGGAAAACACCAUAUAUAUGCAUUGACAUGCUCUAAAAAAAGAUUUUGCUUUAAGACAUGAACUUGCCAUAUCACAAACUAUUAAAUUAAGCUAAUGAAAACCACAUGGCAUGUAAAAGGCUAUGGGAUUUAUGUCUAACAAUCUUUUCUGGACAACUUGGUGUUUCCCUCUCAUGUUAGAUCCAUUAUCAUAACCCUGUCCCCUCAUAUCAUCAAUAUCAAGGUCUAAAAUAUCGAUAUUAUCCCGAUAUUUCUUUCGAAAUUUCUGUGUUUUUGGAUUACCGAUAUUUCCGAUAUCAUCGAUAUUUUAGACCUUGAUAGGAACUCUAUGUGAUACUAAGUCACUCAUGUAUCUUACCAUGCAAUGUAUAAAGUGUAAAAUAUUGUAUUAAUUCAUUAUAUAUAAAUGAUUAUGGUGUGUUUAACUUCUUUCAUUAAUUACUACAUAUUUUCUACACUCAAAAUGUUUGUCAGCUCACUAUAUAAUCAACUUAAAUAAGUUAAAUCCAUCAUGAAAUGCAUUUCGUUCCAAUUUUUUGUAAUAAACUAGUAGAUAAUUGACUAAAUAAACAUCCUGCAAAGUUUCAAUAAAAAUUUCCAAGUUUUUCUUAUAAUUUCCGUGGUUUUUAUUCAAUUUUUAUCGAUAUCGAUAAUAUCCCGAUAUUUCCAUCAAAAUUUCCGUAUUUUUGGACUAUCAAUAUUUUCGAUAUCAUUGAUAUUUUAGACCUUGAUCAAUAUCAAGAUCAAGAGAUUUUAGGACAUCUUGCAGCUCGUUAAAAAGCCCUUGUCCUAAUGUAUCUUUCACACUUAAAAACUCCAUGAAAUACUCCCUUAUAUUUAUUGACCUACUUGACAAGUCAACACAUCACAAAAUUAAAGUCAUCUGUUCCACAUGACUUGCAUUAGGAGUACAAUCAAGAAUGACAAAAAAAAAUUUGGCUUCUUUUACUUUUUUAAUGAUUGCGGUUUUGACUUUUGAAGCUAAAGUAGCUAUCAACUCAUUUUUGUUGGAAAUGUGCCCUAAAACCAAUCAUAUGAUGAUACUUUACGAACGUUUCACAUGUUAAACUAAUAUAGUUUAAUAUAAAGGGCAAAAAUUAUUGUUUGUAGCCGUCUCAUAUAAAUGUUAUACGCUUAAACGAUAAGUCCAAGGAAUAUGUAAUUGGGAGAAUGCGAUCUAAAGAAGUUAGAUUCAUGAGACCAUUCUCUUCCGUAUACAUAUCCUAAACGUUACUGAUCAUAGGAUUGUCAAUUGGGCAUUGAUAGUCUGUUAAGAUCAGUACGUGUUAUGUCUUCUCUUAAGGAGAGUGACUGGUCUCGAGUCAUUGGUGUGACUGACACCAAGACAAGCAUGUAGGUGCUCAAUAGAGAAUGAGUCCACUGAACACGAUCAACAAGGAGUUCUCAUACUCAUGUCACAUGAGAACUCGUGGUUGGAAUAAUGCAAAGUAGUCAUUUGACCUGAGGCAUCAUAGUUGUCUUGUGGUUAGGUCCUUGAUCUUUGACUAUGUCAAAGUCACUCCGUCAGAGGGUGUCCAUUGCAUAGUUGGGGUUAAGCCACUUAGCCAUGGAGGCAAGUGAAUGCACAAUAAGGGAUCUCUAACCUUCAAACUAUUUGAGGGAGAAUACUCUAUGAUAUGAUUAAGAAUCUCUGGCCAGAGUAUGAAUGAUAUUUAAGAAGUCGUUCCAAAUCACAUUCAAGGUAAUCAUAUAAGUAAGAGAAUCACAUUGGAUAGUAGACAUGAAUAAACUAUCAAACCAAACAAUGUGGUCAAGAGUAUUGUAUUAGAGUAAGACCGUAUUGCAUUGUAAUCCUAAACUAAAUAGGUUCUCCACCUCUUCUGAUCAGCUUGGGUAACCAUGACAUACUGCUAGGUGUUACUCAUGAUUUGUGGAAGCCCUAAACGUGUAUAAUCACUAAAGGGAGAAUUGAAAGUAAGUUUCAAUUUACAAUCGAUUUGAAAGAGUUCUAAUCGCUCACUGCCUCGCUAAAAGGAACCUAAUGGAUCGUACACCGUGUAAGGUAGAGAUUGAAAAAACAACGGAGAUAAGUAAGGACAAUUAAAUGGUUUAAUUGUUUAUGACAAGAAUUAAUUAAUAUGUUAAUUAAUCAAACGAAUAAGUUCGGGUUAAACCUUGAGUUAGUUUUGGGCAUUAAAGCCCAAAUUGGGCUUCGAAUCUUCAAACCCAUUAGCUUAAGUUGUAUGACAACUUAACAAACAAAAUUCAAGAAGCCCAAAACAGCCCAAAGGCUUGGGAAAACCAGCCAUAUAGAGAGGGGUAGUGAACUUGGCUUAAUUGCAAGUUUGCCAUUCCAUUGUGAGGUGGUAUAAAGGCAACUUUAUAGCCAUUUCAUCCUUAGGGUUUCUUUUGGAGAAAAGAUGAGAACACAAGCUCCCUUUUCUCUCUAAGAGGCUGGCCACCCUAGAGGAUUUUAGCUAGCAAUCUUACUUCCUCUAGGUCACUCAUCUCUUCUUCAAGUCAUUCCUUGGUGUGGAGACUUAGAGGUUCCUUUCAACCAUCUUCAUCCAAGAAAUCCAUGGAGCUAAGAAGCAAGGAAUGAAGGCCCUCGCCUUGGGUGAUUAGCCUUUGCUUAUGCAAAGAGGAAUCAACAAAGGUAUAAAAUUUCUCAACUCACUUUGUUCUUGAGUUGAGUCUUGGUUCACAUAACUACUAGGCUUUGAAUUUCAUGGGUAAUGUUUUGUUUUGAGUGCAUACAAGCAUGAUUCCGCCUUUAAUUGUUAAUUGCAUGCCAUAGAUGUUGCUCAAAUGAACAUGUUUCUCACAAAAUUUCCUUCAAUUUUGAAUUUUAUGGCUCAAAUAGUGAUGAUGAAUCUCUUUAUUCUCAAUAAGUCGAAAAUGCUAUUGCAUUAUUGGAUCAAACUCCGCAUUCAUUUCAAGUAAACCUAAGAAGUUGCCAUUAGAGUCUUCAUAAAGUCUUUCAUUUGUUCCACGAAAUGCUAAAUUACGUAUGGCAAGACAUUUCAUAACAUCAAUAAUUCUAAGCAUCACUUGUUUCCAAUGAUUUGGCUCUUUCUUGAUUUGCAUUUGAAAUUCUUUGUCAAUUGUCUGAUUUUUUGUCAAUCUACUUUUCAACUCAACCCAAGUUCUCGAAUUAAUGAGAUGCUCUUUACUCUUUUCAUAUUGGUCAAGCUUCUUACCAAGAUGUCUCCAAUCACUAGUUCCAUCUUUUGCUAACUCACUUUUUGAGGCAAUUAUUUUAAACAAUUUACAACAAAAGCAAAAGACUUUAUCCAACUCUUUUGAGUACACGAGCCAUUUCCUAUCGUAAAUUUUACCCGUUCGUAAUUUUCGAUCAUAGUAGUGUGAGGAAAAUUUUCUAGAGAAUUUGUCCUUAGGAUAAGUGAAUUAGUUUCUCAAAUUGGUCCUUUUUCUACAAGUAAGUCUCUCAUUUUUGCAUUAAGACCAUCCCAAACUAUUGGAUCAUAAAUGUCUAAAUGAAAAAUAGGUUCAAGAGAUUCAAUAUUUUCUUCUACACCAAAAUGAUCAUCAUCAACAUUUAAAUCCACAUCACCACCAUUUUCAUGAUCUUGAGACUCAUCACCAACAUUUUCCUCUAAAUCACCACAAUUUUCUUGGUCAUGAGACUCGUCAUUAACAUCUUUCUCCACAUAACCACAAAUUUCAUCAUCAUGAGACUCCCCAACAAUAUUUUGUGACUCUUCACCAACAUCAUUUUCUCUCAAAUUUUCAACCGACUCAUUCUUUAUAGAAUUUUUUUUAUUAAGAGAUCCUCUUAAACUUUAGGCAAUUUCGUUAUCCUUUGCCUUUUUUUUCCUUUUCAUAUUACUAGAGAGUUAUUUUCUAAAAGACAUGGCUUUGAUAAUUUGUUUGCAAAAAUUACCUACAUAUGAUAUAACAAAAAUUUCCUAUUAAAAUUAUCAUCAACAAUUCAAAAAUUACCUACACAUGAUAAUCAAGAAUUCAAUUCAUCAACAACAACAAUUCUAUACAUCAAUUAUCAUAUAAUUCUGUCACUUGCAAAAUUUAUAUUAAAUUAUGAAUUAAUAAUUCAAAUUAAAAAAUUAGUUUACCUCAAAACUCAAAAGGGUUGUUGAAUGCAAGGACUUGUGGGCCUGUGGCUGUCGGGUUUGGAAGCUGUAGCCUGCAGCAGCGCAACAAAUUAUCAGACGGUAAGGGCUAGGGCAGUGGGGUAACAAUGGGGUGGGGAAUCGGGAAAAAGGGGAACUUAGGGUUAAUUGGGGGGGGGGGGGGCGGGGACGAGUGGUCCCCUUGUGUUGUUAUUUUUUAUUUUUUUAAUGGCCAAAACCUGGGCUGGUCUUUUUUUUUUAAUUUUUUUAUUAUUUAUAAAUGCCCAAAACCUGGGCCGUUCCCUUCAUUUUCAAACUUGGGCCUCUUGCCCUCUAGUUCUUAUUUUGGGCUCUGGACAAAUUUUUUUUAUACCUAAUUAUUUGGACUUUUUUUUUGGUGCCCCUUUCAAUUUUGGGCCUUGGAAUGGCCCUGGUUGCACUGGGCCUGGGCCGGGCCUGCCCAUGUAUAUGUUAUCUUGUGAUUUGACAAGUCAUAUGUAUAUCAUAUCAAUUUUAUCUCAAUUGUGGUGAUGGUACAUAAUACUUACUACAUCGUAUGGCAACAAAUAAAUAUGGGCAUAAAGAUAAAUAGAAUGGUAUCAGUAAAUUAAGGUCUUCACAUUACGAUUAUAUUUAUCUCUAUUUUUAGUGGAAAGUUUUAAGGAUAAUUUUUUUUCUGCCUCCUACAUGGGUCUCGAUUCUCCUCUACGGUAAAAAUCCGUAUGUUUUAAAUAUUGAAAAGUUAAUUUAGCCCAAAUCCUUGCCUAUUUUAGGGAAAAUAAAAAAAAUUCAUUUUUAACCCUUUGAUUACUUAUAUCACCUAGUAUAACCUUUUUUUUUGUGUGAUACAAACAAAUAUUUUUGUUUGGGCCCAAAAUAUUAUUUUAGGCUGAGCUUAGGUCAUUCUCGGCCUAGUGGCAUUCAUUUAGAAUUUUGUUAUGGGCCGUCCAGUUAAGGUCAGCCGAAUCCUAUUAUGAAAAGGUUUGGUUUGGAUAAGGGUGAGUUGGUCGAUACUAGUGCAACAAGGAUUCUGAAGACUAAGGACAUUGAGAAUUAAAGGGUGAAUUUGGUUUGUUAAGAAGCUUGGUUCAAAGUCCUACAGGAAUUAGGAUUGGUUGAAACCUGAUCGGAUUGGGUUGAGGAGUUCUAAUCCUAGUCCAUUUCUAGUUCGGCUAUGAGGGGAUUCAUUAUUAUAAAUAGAGAAGGGAGUGCAUCAUUCAAAGCCCCUCCAAUUCAACACACAAAUUGCCUUGUGCAAAGCUUCUCAACAACCUUUGAGAUUUUAUCCACUUCCUCUUUCUUUUGCCAACACAUCUUCAGUUUGGAUAAAUAGCACUGUGAAGGCAACCGUCGACAUCUUCAGUUUGGAUAGACUGCACUAGAGCCGUAAAAUUAGCCGACCAAGGAGCACCUUUAGUUUGGAUGGACAACACUGCUUUGAGGCCGACUGGCUAUUUAUUCAAGUCUCGGCUGAGAAGGAUUUUCAAAUCCUUGUUGGUAGAGGUCAUCUCGUCAGCCUUCUCGGCAAAGUGAGGUGUUACAGGUUUCUGGGCUCGGCACAUUGAACGUUGAGUUUUGUUUUAUGAUUAGAUACUCACAAGUAAGUUUUAGAGUUUGGCAUUCCGAUGGCCGAAUCACAUUUACAAUCAAGAUAUAUAUUUCUUUCGAGUAUUUGUGUCUGUAUAGUUUGGUACCAGUUCGGCAUGCUUAUACUCUCACGAAUAUAAUCACUAUGAUCGAACCUGAUGCCGAUGAUUUGUGAACUUCAUAGAACUAGCAACCUUGUCUUCAGGCAUUAUAAUCCAAAGGCCGAGACAUGUUCCUUCAUCGAUCGCAGUCGUAAGAUCGAGAAGUCAGCAGCGCGCCCAACGAGACAUCAACACAUUCUAUUCCUCGACCGAGUUGGCACGCCCUGCACAUAACUGAAGGACGUAGUUAGCUUAUUAGUUACUCAGCCUAUGCGUCACGUAGGCUUCAUAGUUUUUAGUGUCAACAUUUUGGCAUGCCCAGUGGAACCCAGUGUUAAAGCUACGAAGUUCAUGACCAUUGAGACACGGUCAGUAAAAAAGAAACCAGUAAUGGGAAAGUUGACAACUAAUCUUCCAGUCUAAAACUCAUGACAAGAUGGGUUGUUAUAGACACAGAUUCAUGCUGCUGCCAUGACACCUGAAGCCACAAGUGCGACAUGCCGAGAAAAGGAAGUGAAUCUUGGCAAUCAGCCUUGUGGUGCAGAAAUCCCCACCAAAACGACAAAAGGCAUUUUUGUUGAAGGAAUAGUGGAUGAUUAUGACGAGGACGGUGGUAAGGCCUCUGAUCCACCAACCAGGUCGUUUUUUCGACGACGACUUGAAGAGUAAUCUUGACAACUUGAGCAGAUGUUCAGCCGAGAGAUAAAAAAACAUAUUUAAAGAAAUGCGUGAUAAUAUCGCUGUACAUAAUUUAUUGCUCGAAGUUCUGGUUAGUAAAGUCCAUGACAUUGGACCCACCAAUCGAUCCAGGCAUCAUUUUUUCAGGAAUAACCCACUACCAAUAGUACAGGUCGAGACAUAAUCCACUUGGCUCAAAAUGAUUAACUUACAGAAAAGUGGUGGGUUAAUCAGCAGAUCAAACGGAUUCGACCAGAGAGCGGAAACGACAUAUGUUGAUAUGGUUGAAGUUUAGAGAAUGAUUGAUUCGGCCUUGAAAAAUGGGCCAAAGUUUCCAAAAUUCAUUCACCCAUAUCCUGCCUUUGUAGAAAAGUUUGAGUACCCAAAGGGGUUCAAGAUCUCUGACUUCAGCCUUUUCGUUGAAGAGUCGUCCCUAUUGUCAUUAAACACGUGGCUCAAUUCACUGCUCAAUGUGGGGACGUUAACAGUGAUUUCCAUAAGCUACGAUUGUUCAAUUUCUCGUUAACCAGCUCAGCAUUCGCAUAUUAUAUCAACCUCUCACCCAACUCUAUCCAAAGUCAGGAGGAACUGGUCGAGAAAUUUCAUGAGCAAUUCUAUCGACUGGGGAUGGACGUAUUAGUAUCUUCUUGGGCUAGGAUGGCUCAAGCCUCUGAUGAGUCACCAAUGGAAUACUUUACAAGGUUUAAGUUGGCCAGAAAUUGGUGUCGAGUACCUCUUCCUGAAGUCGAGUAGGCUUGCCCUGAAUGGCUUAGACGUGGAGUACAAGAAGAAAUUCUUAAGGGCAUACUUUCGAGAUAUGUACGAAUUGGCUCAGCAUGUCGAGCAAUAUGAUUAUUUUCUCUGAGAGGAAAAGAUCUCGAAGUUUUCAUCCCGAGGAACGAUCUACAAGAACUUUACGGUUAGCUAUGCAUCGGCCAAAGGCGAGGAGUCCCAAUAUGCUAGUAUAGACGUGGCCAAGAUAUUAAUCGACAAACUGUACAUAUGUAAAACAUUGGCUCAUGCUACCUGUUCAGCCUUUGAGGAAGCUGCCGUCAAAACGUUAAAAGUCUAUACUUUCGACAUCACUAAGGCUGAUGCCAUCUUUGACCAGUUAUUGCUUGCAAAAAUUGUCAAGCUUCAGCCAGGGCAUAAUAUUCCAAAGGUCAAGGACUUAAAAGGAAAGACAUAUUACAAAUACCACAACUCGAACAAGCAUACGACAAACAACUGUGUCGUAUUUCGCGAUGCCAUUCGAAACUGGAUAGAUAACGGUAAGCUUAAAUUUCCUGAGAAACCAAUGGUCAUUGACACCAAUCCUUUCCCUAUGACAACGGUAAGCAUGGUAGAUGCUCACCUACACAAGGAUAAGAGAAAAGGAAAAGCCGAGUUCAUCCCAACGCAAUACGUCCCUAAGCAGAAUUCUCGAUCACAAUUGAAAGUCAAUCUAUCCUUGGGUGAGCCACCCAGAUACUUUUCAAACCCAACUAAUACCGAGUCAAUAUCAAACUCCAGCACGGGAGAAAGUGACAUGCCAAUGGUUUUAUGCAGUUGGUGUAAAUCAAACGUCAUCAUAACUAAGCUGAAGGAAAAGCCACUUCGGACUGAAGCACCACUAACGCCUGUAGUUGUAGCAACACCUCAAAAAGUGCUUGGUACAGACCAACACCAUAAAGUUUUUGAUAGGCUCAGCCCUCAAACACGGAAUGACGGCCCGUCUUCGGCCCGAUAAUGACUUAAUUUCGACGUUUCGUUUUAUAAUGAAGAGUAUUAUGUGUGCAACUCCAGCAACUCGAGUUCAUCCGCGAACCAAAGAAACUUCAAGUCACCUGAGCCAUGCGACUAGUGUUGGUAUACCUACAAUUCCCUACCGAUGUAUAUAUUGCAUUGUCCAAAUCGUAGAAACAUCAGCGCCAAAUAAUGGACUAUAUGGCUCGCCAAUGAGCAGCCCAGACUACCUCGGUCACCAAGUGGCAACUGAAAGAAACGGUAGAUAACGAAGAUGAUUGACAACCUUCGGCCAUCAUGGUUGAGUUGCUUCAAGGAAAGAAAGUGAUCGAUCGUGACUUUGAAACCAUGAUUGAAGAAUCUGAAAAGUGAAUCAAACUCUUUCUUCGGCCUAGGGAGAUGAAAGCUUGCCUCGAGCACUUUCGGAAAGAAGUUGAAAACAAACUUCCUUUACUACCCUCGCAAGAGCCAUUAAUUAAAGUUCGAAGGAAUCUUCACCCGCCAUUUCUUAACAAAGCUUUAGAAUACAUGCAAGAGUUCCAUAUAAAAACAUUCAGCUAAUGGUUAAUAUUGCAUGCCAAAAGCAUGCCAAGAGGCUCUUGAUCUAGUAUUAACUUGCCCCGAUGCCGAACAAAUCAUCCAAAAGACCAUGGAUCAGAGGAUGAAGGCUAGAAUCCAGCAUAUACUCGAGGCUUGAGUUCUCUACUUUGAGGUAGACCCAUAUACUGAUAUCGAUCCAACCGACCUUCCUUUCUCCCUUAAGGACCUCCAAUAUUUACUGUAUCAUUUUGAAAUUUUCUCGGCAGUUGCCCUCUUUAAUCUUACGACUGAUGAGAAAGAACGUAUGGCGUGAUUAGAUGCUUACUUAGACACAAGAGACGCCCGCAUCGUAUAUCAGGAGCGGACUCACAAGGCUUCACAAGAGCAACACCAAGUCCCCACGUUGAGCGAGCCUAAAGUUGAUGGUCAGAACGAAAUGGGUUUGGUGGAUGCACUGUAGGGACGGGUUCUCUUAGCUGCCGGAGAGGAUCAGCCAGAUAAUGCCCAUAAGCAAAAUACUUCGCCUGAAAAUCUAGAAGACAAAGAUCACGACCCAAUGGGUUCUUCGGUCCUUGAUAACACGGAAAUCAACAUGGUCCAUGUCUUACCUGCCGAGUUCUAGCUAAUUACAUCUCAACCAAACUUUAUGGACGACGUCAAAGUCGCCGAGGAAGCCGCACAAGUCGAUUUUUUGGCCACCGAAGAGAUCGAGCAAGUAAGCAAAGAAGAUAAACUUAAGGCAGCUCUUGCCAAUUUGUUCCCCCGCUAUUCGUCAGUUAAUUUUCAUCAUUUAAAGCCAUUGUAUGUUAUAGCUCGUAUUGAAGGAUAUCUGGUUUCUAAAAUUUUUGUCGACUACGAAGCAACGGUCAACAUCAUGCCCGUUUCUAUCAUGAAGGCAUUACGUCGCUUUAGCAACGAACUCAUUCCAUUAGGGGUAACCAUGAGCAGCUUUGUCGAUGACAAGUCCUAAACCAAAGGAGUGCUUCUUUUAGAGGUAAAUAUCGCAUGUCGCAAUCACAUGACCGAGUUUCUCAUAGUUGAUUUAAAGACUGAGUAUAAUUCCUUGCUUGGUUGUGAUUGGAUCCACCAAACAAGCUGUAUCCCUUCGUCAUUAUAUCAAGUCUCAUCUUUUGGGAUGACAAAUCAGUCGUGGUUCAUCCAGCCAACAAUCAGUUGUUUGAAGCUAAUAUAAUUUAGGCUCGUUAUUACAAUGAUCACAUCGGCUACAUCACCAUAUAAGGUUUUAAAGGGGAAGGACGGCCAACUUGAAUCUUAAUUUAGAAAGCCAUUGAGGUUGGAAAACAUUGUGACAAGAUUCGGCGUACCAAAAAUAAUUAUAACAGAUAACGGCAUAAUUUUUACAGCCGACAAGUUUAAAGAAUACGCAGCGAGUCUAAAAAUUCAGCUCAAUUAGUCCACGCCAUAUUACCCAUAAUCAAAUGGACAGAUCGGAGCAAGUAAUAAAGUUUUAAUCGGUAUACUUGACAAAAUGAUAAAAGAAAAGCCUGGUAUGUGGCAUUUGAAGUUAAACGAGGCAUUAUGGGCAUAUCGAACUUCACUCUGAUCAGCAACAGGGAUGACCCCAUAUGCGUUGACUUAUGGGCACGACGCGAUGCUACCGGUCGAGCUAAGCAUAAACUCGUUAUGAGUUAUCGAACAAAGUAGUUUAUUCAGUGCCGAGUACAGUCAGGCCAUGAGGUAAGAGUUGGAGGACUUGGAGGAAGCUCGGCUCGAUGCCUAUAACUUACUGGUGGUGCAUAAAAAGAUUACCGAACGAGCUUAUAAUCGAUGAGUUAGGCAAAAGACGUUCGGUGAAGGUGAAUUAGUAUGGCAAACCAUGUUACCAGUAGGGAUUAAAGACCUUAGAUUUGGGAAAUGGUUGCUGAAUUGGGAAGGACCAUUCGUCAUCCACAAGGUUCUUGGCAAGGGGGAAUACCACUUGAAAAAGUAUUAUUCGAUUACUUGGGAAAUGCAAGAAUAAAGAAUUUAUUUCAUUGAUUUUCAAAGGACAUUUACAAGCAAAAUUACAAAGAGUCGAUCGGCCUACAACUACAACUAAAGACAAAAGUCCUAAAGAGUCGAAGGAAGAAAAGCUUCAAAAGUGGCUUUCAGUUCUAGCCAUCUUACUUCGCCCAUCGUGACCUCAGCCUGUCUUGUUCUUUUGUCAAGUUGUAGUUGAUGUAUCUGCUUCGAGCUAGCUGCAUACUCUGCCAGUCGAGGUUUAUUCGAAUUGAAAUCUAUUUCAAGCUCGGAAGCAACGGCUGACCUUUGACGUGGAAGUUUAGUGAUUUGGCGGUCAAGAUCGGCCAGCCGCUCACUCUUUGCUUUUAUGGCCUCGAGCUCUGGUCGGAUAGCUUCAUGAACGACCAUUGAAGCCUUGAGGUCAUCUUCUGCCUAAAGAGCCCCAUCAAAAAUAGCGAAGUAUUGUCGGGUUCGUUUUAGGAUAUAAGAUAGGUGAACGACAUUCUCAUUGCUUAGAAUGCCAUCGUUUACAAGGUCGUUCAUACAUUCUUCUAUAGAAUCGAGGCCUUUGUAUUCAAGGAUUUGCAUGGCUGAGAUAGACAAAAGCUCAUGCAGCUUGGCGAAGACACUGGACACGGCCGCGAUUGCAAAAGACUAGAUCGCGGUUGUUGAAGGCCUAGUCACCCCAGAAGUGUUUGAGAGGAGGGUGUCAAGCUUGACUUUCCAUGAAGGCUGCAUAAAAAGAGUUGUUAGAAAAGAGAAGUUAAAAGGACGGUAGAUAAGGACGUUGUGUUAGACCUACCGAGAAAAGACUUCGGCCAUGUCUGUUGGUUCGUUACUCGAACCGAGAGAGCUUAAUGGCCGAGCCUAGUGUUUAAGGCAACCUUUUAAUUCAUGUGGCCGAUAAAGGUUAUCUAUGUUUGAUGGCUAUUGGGAUGGCCAAGAAAUAUAAAUAACGCCAUUUGGCGCAUAGAAUUUUUGGAGAAAUGAGUAAUUAGGCACCUGGCAGUUAAUAUUUUCUUGGUUUAGAAUUCUAAAGCAAAAAAUUAAUAAAAGAAAAUGAUGACGAGUCUUACAAAGGUCGAAGUAACCUCCUGAAGAGGAAUGUCGAAAUUCUGGUCUUGAGGAUGAACCAACGUCUUUACCAUUGCUUCUGCCUCGACAGGAGGCACCGCUUCAUGUCCUGCACCUAUUUCAGUUGCAAAAGUGUCGACCUGGCCAGCCAUCUCAACUAUCGGUUGAGGAUUGGUGGUUGGUAGUUCAGCUGGUUGAGAGCGCCUCACCAACGGGGGUACUUCAUUCUCGUCAUCCUAUACAUAAAAGAGGAUUGGUCGUUAGUUGAGAGAUAUAGUCAAAAUAAAAGGAGAACAUUAGUAAAAAUGGUCAUACCUAUUCUUCCACAAUGAUUAUUGGAGUCUUCUUUAGAUUUGGCGGAGGGUUUCUCUCGGCUGUGGUGGCCUCAUUCUCCAAAGCAGUAGCUGCCACGCUAACACCAAGAAUAACGGCCGGCCUCGGGGUUGGAAAACCCUUGACUAAUGGGUUGAUGAUGGGUUCAACAACAGCCAGCAUAAUGGGUUGGAUCUUAGUUGAUUGAUCUGUCAGAGGAUUUUGCGGUACUCCAAUCGAGGCCUGGACGACAUGAGAAUGGAGAAGGGCACUAGGAGUGGUUGUUCCCGUGGUUUGACUCGAAAUGACAUAUAUCUCCCGUUCUUCAUUCUUUUCCUUUUUCUUGAGGCACUUUUGGGACCGGGCAAUGUUGCCAGUCGUCUCGACCUUUGGGCGAGGCCGUUUGCUCGGUGCGGUCGGUGCAAUAGGGGCUGCUGCAGAAGUUGGUUUGACUGAAGGAUGAGCGAGUUUCUUUUUAGUCGCGACCAUCGUAACCACAUUGACUCGUUUUAUGGCACGACCACUUGGAAAAACUGAGUUUAAGUCAGAACGAUGUUCAAAUUGAAUAAACAAACAAGGGAAGUAAAAGAUAUAUACCUUUAGUUGUUUCUUUGGAUUUUGGGACGAGUCUUCCUCGGUCGGUCGUCGAAAAGCUUCUUUGAAAUUUCCUCGACUGAAGUACUGAAGAAGUCCUUGACGUAAGCAUCUCACCAAUCGGCGAAGAUGCUAAUGCAAUGGGUUUUUGGGGUAAUCAGCCGAAGAUAGAAAUUGGUGCAUCGCUCUAAGAAUUCCCUCUCGGAUUCAUCACAUUCCCUUUAUGAGGAGCUGAAGAGGCGUUCUCGGCUCAAGGGUGAGCGGGAAGUGAGGAGUGGCAUAGGAUAGGCCUGGACAUAGCUCAGUGGAUAGGCCAUGAAGUCAGGAUGGCAAAUCUCCUAGCUGGCCCAUCGAGCAUCACAACCAAAUGGAAUGUCACGAGCUAGAACAAAUGAUCCAUAUGAUUGUCGGAGAUCAGCGUCUUCUGCUUCUUCCCACACCAAUGUAGGGAGCCUGAUGGAAGACAAAUAUUUCUGGCGGUGGCAGACCAGAAACUCGUCGUUCAACAAGUCUUCAAGGUCGAAGAAGUACUUGAAGACAUCUUCGGCCAAUGGGCAGGAGUAGGGUGUGAGGACAGUUGAAGGCUCAUUGCUUUGGAAGAAUUGAAGUGUAGGAUUUUUGGCCUCAAUGUGUAGAAGUAAACCUGCAACCAUAGUUGAAAGACUCAAAGUGGGCCGUUCUGGUGUGGGUUGAUUUUCCCGACGGAAACCUCAGCCAAGCAUCGAGAAAGGUUGGCAAUGAUGGUCGAGCUGAAGGGCAGGACGUGGCCACUAGCUAGCGCUUCAGCCACUAGCACAUUCUUGGCCAGGCACUUGUACGACUUGGUACAAAAGAUGAACUUAUUGUACUACUAGAACGAGAAGGUCUCGUGUUCCCCCUUCUUGAGAGCUUCCCCCUCCGAGCCAGCGAAGUGGGUGAUCAGGGUGCUAUAAUUGAAGAAGUUCUUGUGCAGCUUAUAUACAUCUUUUUUUCAACGGCUCCUGACCAUCCUUCAUCAAAGCUUCGACGACAUGUUCGUCAAAGACCGCCUUUAGAUCUAGGUCGAAUUGAUAUCGAAAAAGGGUGGUAUCAACUGAAAGACCAGAAAGGGGAGUGCCAAGUAUAGCCGUGACAUCCAGCAUUGUUGGGCCAAUGGGGCCAAGAGGAAGGACCAUAAUGUUGGUGGCCAAACACUAGAAACUCAGGGUGGCCAUUAGGAGUUCUCGAUCCAUGUUGAUCUCAAUGGUUGAUAGCUUAAUGGCAUCAAAGUUACUGAGAAUCUUCCAAUCGCCCCUGAAGUGUGGCUCCAUCCGGGUAGGGGUGGGUACUUGGAAUCAAAAAUCAAAACCGAAACACGAAUCGAAUCAGACCGCACCGAACAGUUUGGUUUUGUGAUUUUGAAACGGUUACGGUUUCAAAACCAAACCGCAGCAAAGAAAACGAUUUGGUUUCGGUUUUGGGGUUUCAAAACCGCACCGAAACCAAAACCGAAAUCGAAACCGCACCAUAUAUUGAAUAUUGAAUGUUAUGUUUUAAUCUAUUGUUUUGUGCAGCUCCAAUCUGAGUUUUUCAUGGCAGUAGGGCUCCCAGGCUCACAUUGCUCUCAUAAUCACUUUGCUUGUUAUGUGUAGCCCCAUUGCAGUAAAUUUUAAUACCGCGGGGCUCCUAUACAAUCUGUGAUACAAACCAACAUGAUAUUCUUAAAUUAGUAAUAAAAUUGACAACGAAUUUUUCUUACUUUGAUGAGAUAUGUAUGAAAUAUUCUGGGAAAAAAUGUACAUGCUAACUCUUGGAUAAUAACUACAAUGAGCGAUGGAAAAUACAUCCAUUUGUAUGCCAUUUAUUACCAAGGAAGUUGCAGAUAAUCGAGGCUAACAUUCUCAAGAGAAUGCUAAGUUGGUAACACAACAGGAAGUAGGUGGGAAAGAAAUACUUACCAGCUAGAGUAAGUCCCUAGGUGGACAAGGCAUAGAAUAAAUUGUACAUUUUUUUUCUCAAAAACCAAACCAAAACCGUUUGAAACCACACCGAACUGAACCAAACGGUUUGGUUUCAUUUUGGUUUUGGCUUCAAAACCGCACCGAACUGCACCGCAAAGAGUUUCGGUUUCGGUUGCGGUUUCACUUGAAACCGCACCGAACCGUACCGUGCCCACCCUUACAUCCGAGUGACCCAAGCAGCCCAGACCGUGAGGGUUGAUGGCCAACUCCCUAGGGUUUGGUCAAUUCCCACUUCGACCAAUCGUAUCCUUGAAAUAGGGGUUCAAGGCAAUGCGUCUUCAACAUCUUGGUGAUUGAUUCUGGGAUGUUUUCCUUGAAAAGUGGUCCCAGAGUUUGGUGGAAAACACUUGAAUCAUCCUCACACCGGAGGGAUUCGAUGGCAUUCUGGUUAAUAAAGUCUCAACAGUUGUCGCAUUCCUCGGCGAGCUUGGUGAUAUGUUAGAGGUUUAUUUUGCUUCUUCAAGGUUGACGCUCAGCUUAGAUUUGUAGGCCGAAUACCUUAGAAGCGAGGGGGCAAUGUUUGGGCCCAAAAUAUUAUUUUGGGCCGAGCUUAGGUCAUUCUCGGCCUAAUGGCAUUCAUUUAGAAUCUUGUUAUGGGCCAUCUAGUUAAGGUCAGCCGAAUCCUAUUACGAAAAGGUUUGGUUUGGAUAAGGGUGAGUUGGUUGAAUCCUAGUGCAACAAAGAUUCUUAAAGCUAAGGACACUGAGAAUUAGGGGGUGAAUCUGGUUUGUUAAGAAGCUUGGUUCAAAGCCUACAGGAAUUAAGAUUGGUUGAAACUUGAUCGGAUUGGGUUGAGGAGUUCUAAUCCUAGUCCAUUUCUAGUUUGGCCAUGAGAGGAUUCGCUAUUAUAAAUAGAGGAGAUAGUGCAUCAUUCAAAGCUCCUCCAAUUCAACACACAAAUUGCCUUGUGCAAAGCUUCUCAACAACCUUUGAGAUUUUAUCCCCUUCCCCUUUCUUUUACCAACACAUCUUCAGUUUGGAUAAACAGUACUGUGAAGGCAACCGAUGACAUCUUCAGUUUGGAUAGACAACACUGUAGCCGUAUAAUUAGCCGACCGAGGAGCACUUUCAGUUUGGAUAGACAACACUGCUUCGAAGCCGACUGGUAAUUUAUCCAAGUCUCGGCUGAUAAGGAUUUUCGAAACCUUGUUAGCAGAGGUCAUCUCAUUAGCCUUCUCGGCGAAGUAAGGUGUUACAUGUUUCUAGGCUUGGCACAUUGAACGUCGAGUUUUGUUUUAUGAUUGGAUACUCGUAAGUAAGUUUCAGAGUUCAGCAUUCCGAUAGCCGAACCACAUUUAAAAUCAAGACAUAUAUUUCUUUCGAGUGGGCAUGCCCCACGCAUAACUAAAGGACGUAGUUAGCUUAUUAGUUACUCGGCCUGCGCGCCACGUAAACUUGAUAGUUUUUAGGGUCAACAACUUUCAUUUUUUCAUUCCCAACCUACCCUGAAUUUAAAAAUGGAUAGAAACAUAAUUUUUAGGCCAACUUUUACUUAAUUUGUUGCUCUUUGCUUUGCCACUUUUAUGCCAAGUUCUUCUUCUUCUUUUUUGUCGAUAUGCUAAGUUCUUCUUCUUCAUCUUCGUCACUUUUUAUUCUUCCAUUUGUUCGUGUUAUACUUCUAUCUUAUAUGUUGGAAUAAAUUAUGUUGAAACUAAAUUCACGCAGUGCCAUAGAAGGUAAAGACACACAAAUUCGAGUAAUCUGUAAAAGAACAAACAACCAUGAGCUAACAAAAAACUAGGGGUGUGCCAGUCAAAGGCUCUCCGAUGGUCAAGUUAGUAAGCAAUAUAAAAUUAAAGAAGUAGACAAGAAAGUAAGUAUGCGAUAAUUGUGUUACCAGAGAAAAUCCUAGAAUGAUGUAUUUAUACUAGUUGAGGAUGGGAUGUUUUAGAAUAGUAGAAUUUGUAUUAAAUCGGGAGAAUCCUAGAGGAUAUCUAGAGAUAGAUAUUGCAUCCUCUUAGGAGUGUGAUUACUUACCGCACACGUCAAUCUUUUGAUUGUAAGGACUCCAAGAUUAAUUAUAAGAAACUUGCUGAUUUCUUGCUGGAUUUUGUUUCCAUAUCUUAUGGAAAAAGGUUAGUCUCAUCGAAAUCAUCAGACUUCACCCACUGAUUUCGGAACAGGAUGAUGGUGGCAUCGCUGCUUCGUAUGUUUAGCUCCGCAUCGGAAGCUGUAGAGUCCAUGACCAAAUAUUCGUAUUCCGAUCCACCUUACUCUGGCCCUGAAAAGUCAUAGUCCAACAAUUUAUAUUGAAAUUUGUCAUGGUGAUAACUUAACUACAUGUAAUACAUAUUCCUUUCGCUUGUACAUGUCUUAAAAUUUGCCAAAUGCUUAUAUGUCUUUGCCUUUCCUUUUGUAUAAUUGGUUGGGUAUUUUUAAUUGUAGGAAGAUAGUAAUAUUUUCAUACGUAUAAUUGUUUCAUAUCUCUUUUAUAGGUAAAUGAAGAUGUUAAUUAAUCAAAUAUUUUUCGUAUAUAUAGAAUUGUAUUAUAUAUUGUUUCUCCCCAAAAAAAAAGUGCUUUAGAUAUCAUUAUCAUAGGUAAGUAACCGUAUAUAAUUAGAAAUUUAAAUCUAUAUUUAUUAUCAAAGUCAAAAUAGUCAUACAACUAAAAAAUAAAUGCACAAAUUGGGUUAAAGUUGACCACACACACACAUACACACGCGCGCGCACACACACAUAUAUAAUAUGUUUGUGUGUUUGUUUGUUUUCUAUAUGUAGAGCUUAAUUAAUUAGGUUUGCAUGGUAUACAUAGUAUCCAAGCUAUGUAGCUAUCUUAUUUUUUUUUUUAUAAAAGUUAGCCUGCAUGAUUUCUAAUCCAUCAAUGUUUCUUUGUAGUUGGAGGUGUUCUAUUUCAUGCAUGCAAUAGUAGGAGCUGUCGCUUGGUAAAAUUAACAAGGGGUUUUUGAACUUUAAUUCUUGAAGAAGAUUAAAAUUUAAUAAAAAUUUAGUGUUAUAUUGAAUAUUGAUUUUAGUCUAUUAAUAUGUAUUUAAUUCAAAUUCAUAUUAUAUUUUUGUUUUUAUAUUUAACAGAUAACUUAUUUAAUGUUAUUACAUUAAAUUUUAUUUAACUUUCUCUAAUUAGUGUACCUAAACGUCUGUAUCAUAAUAUACUUUACUAAAUUAAUGUACCAAAAUGCCCGUACCAAAAUAUAUUGUAGUGAAUUAGUGACACAUAAGAAAAUAUGUAAAAACAUAAGUGUACAGAAAAUUCCGUACCUAACUAUAUGAUACUAAACUAGUGUACCAAAAUGUCGGUACCUAAAUAUAUUAUACUAAACUAGUGUACCGAAAUGUUCGCACCUAAAUAUAUUGUAAUGAAUUAGUGGCAGAUAAGAAAAUAUGCAAAACAUAAGUGUAAUGAAAAAUCUCUAUGAAAAAUAUUUUCUUAUAUAAGAUGCUUACCAUUAGAUGAUUCCACUAAAUGAUGCCUAUAUAUCCUCGAAUCUUACUUUUCCACUCCACUACAAACUUUCAUUGUCAAAACAAAAAAAAAAAACUCCCAACUUUUUAUACGCACUUAUUUCAAAAUUUUGCCUCUCUUUUGAAUCUUUUAUCAUGGCUUUUUCAAGCAAGAAGUCUAAACCAAUUAAGCUUUCCCCCUAUAAUCUUCCUUUGACAAGAGUUCGUAAUCGAGAAGAAGGUGAGUCUUUCAUUAAAGAGCACCAUGACAUUUUGGACGACUGUAACGUCUGGUGGGAACCUGGUCAUGAUAUCUAUGCUAAUCUGCACCGUUGUUUAGUCCUUGCUGUCUUUGUACUAGAAUCUACCCUUGGUUCUUGGACUUUGGUCUUCGUUUCCCUCUUUCUGCUUUUAUGAAAGCCAUUUUGUUAUGCUAUGAUAUAGCCAUCUGAAACCUCUCUUUUACCGCCUUCAAGCUUUUCACUUGCUUCGAGUUGUUGAAUUAGUGGUUCGGGGCUAAGUUGGAUAUCCCAGAGUUUAAAUGUUGCAUAGCUUCAAACCGAGUUUGGAUGACCAUUAUUAUUUUGCUGCUAUAACUAGUUUGGAUUAGGAGACAUACAUCAAGACACCCCUAAUCACCACAAGGAUUGGUUCAAAGACAUACUAAUUGUUAACGGAGCUUAGGAGGGAGAUAUUAGCGGACUCCAGAUCCGGAUUGAUCCUCCGACCGUUUAUCGCAAUUGGAAAUGGUUGUUCUCUACUGAGCACUUGAACAACCGUAAGAAGAUAUAGACGCAUUUCAUUGUUCAGGAUUCCCUAUAAAGAAGCUAGAGUAGGUUGAUGCUCGUAAUGAUCAUAGAAAAACUCGUUCCUUUAAAACAGCAUAGACUUUGUCACCUGUCCUAAAGAAGCGGAAACAUCCUAACAAUUCUUCUUCUUACUCAUUGGUUGUGACUCCUCAGCCACAACUGCUGAUUAAGGACAUCCAUUAUAAACCCCUCUUCGAAUAAGCACGUUGCUGUUCUGGCGCCACCAACUUUUAUUGUAUUUGCCUCUAUAUCCAUAGCAAAUAAGCCGCUUACUUCACCUCUUAUCCAUUUACCUGCGGUGUUGCCCCAAUUGUCGAAGUCAGAACCUAUUGUCCUCAUUUGGUUCUUCCACCAAGUUUUAUGUUCGUGCCAUACGAAAUUGAUGUGCCUUCCAUUUCCUCAACGUCCACUUUCGUCCAUCCGCUGCAAGUGCCUAUAUAUGAACCUUCCUGCCAUAAUGGUCCUCCAUUGAUUUCCCCAUCGAGGUCCAAGGGAACAUCUCGUCCUCCCUUUAUGAUCAAACCUUUGGCUGAUCGAGUUGCUUUUGCUUCUGAUGUCAGUGGUCUUCAAAACACAUAUGAUGCUCGGGUGCUGCAUGGGGCUACGAUUGCCACUACCGAUUUCAAGGGAGCCUACACUUCUCUUAAAUGUGACAUAAUGCAGUACUAUAGGAGUCAUUAUGAGAUACCCGAAUUUCUCUCCUCCAUUUCUUUUUGUUGAUAUGUUUCCCUCGUAUUAGGUUAAUGUGUGGACGAAUCUAGGAACUUAAACGGAUUACAGAUAUAGGCAAAACGAUGAUUGCUAUCCCAAUCAUAAGAACUUAAGAACUCGUAUACCAUGUAGCAAGCCUCGAAUACCACUCAUGAUGUAGAGAUAAUUCGGGAGAUUGAUCUAGCUACUGUUAUAGAGGUAAAGGCCAAAGAUUACAAGGAAAGUUUUGAGAAGGUUAGAGACGAGCUGAGGUUAGAGAAGCAAGCCAAGACGAAGGUGGACUAGGCUCUUGUUGUCUUAAAAGGAGAGUCGGAGCGUGUGUUAGCUUUAAAACAAAAUGUUUGGGCUAAAGAGCAGGAAGCUCUUCAAAAAAAGAGGUCGAGCAUCUAUGCUAAGAGGUCGAUCACAACGAUAACAAGCCCAUCGCGUACCUUUAGCAGCUUACUAACAGGUAUUCCUCUUAGACGUAUGUAUUCCAGGAAGAUCAUAAGAGGUUACUUGAAGAGGAGUUUGACGUCAGAUUCCUUACCGAUUACGCCCAACAAGAUCACCCUAAAGGUUGGAGCGUCUUCAGAAUUUAUGAGUAGAUCAAACACAUGGACUUUCCUCCUCCGCAUCAUUUGUUAGAUGAGAUGUCAGAUUUAGAGGCGGAGCAAAAUGAAUGUGAUCUUAAAGGUAAUCCGACACCUGAUGCCCUUGGUGAAUCUUCUACUCCAUUCAAGGGAAACGAUGUCCUGAAAAAGGAUUAAUUUGCACUUGCUCCUGGGUAGGAAAGGAGACUGUCCCUUUUGCAAACUUUUUGUCGUAAUACAAAGCUUUUUCUUUCAUUUCUUUCUCUACUCGGGGAAGAAAUCUUAAUCCUAUAAAUUUCUCUAAAGUAAACGAACUUUAUUUGAGAAAUAAGUGGCGGAGCGGGUACGAGUAAGUUUGUAGGUUCGGGACAAAGCUCAUCAACUCCCCUUGGAAACAUUGAUUCAGGGGAAUGUUGCCUCCUAAGAUUUGUAUUCAUAAAGUAUUCUCAUCAUGAUAUCUAGAAUACCACCUUAUUAUGGUAUUAGGAAUUAGACAUUAAACCCAUGAGAAAACUCUUGCUCUUACACUUAUUAAAAUACAUUCAUCAGGUAUAAGAGGUCCAAAUCAUGCCUGAUAACAUCUUAGAAGUAGAGGUCGAUUACCUCAAAACUUGCAAUGUGGUGCCAGAAUGAGUUUUCCCUGGUCCGAAUUGCGUGUUCAUUUCUAGUGAAUCUUACGCAAAAGUUCUUUGGAUACAUGGUCAUCAACAUGUGAGUCAAAAAUGCUUUUAGAAUCCUUUUGUUAGACCCUAUGUGUCGGACUUGAGCGUUUAUAAUCGGACUACUUUGGUUGGCUUGACCAAAGCAUUUUCGCUUACUGAAGCUCCAUUGGAAUAAAAUUCCUCUUUGGGAUUGCCUAGUUUGAAUGCCCUCUUCGAACCUGCUAACACUUGGUGUUGUAGAGCUUACUUGACUUAGUAAAUUAGUCUGGGAUAGAAGUAGUCGUACUCGGGGUCAGAUUUUAGAGCCACCCUCAGAUAAGUUCCAGAUCGCCCUUUUGACUAUUCCCUCGAAUGUGUAGAGCCCAGGUUUGGAAUGUUAUAACCCACAACCUUGCUGGUUACAUAAACUUUCUAGAGACUGGAUGGUGCAUUGGACUUCCAGGUCAAGGCGCAAUGUUCCUGUACCCAUAGCCCACCAGUCGUUACAACACUUAUUACUGUUCGAGUCUAACAAGCUGCUAGCCGUUCCAGACGGAUAAGGCUAAAGAAGGCUCUUAUGAUAGUGUAAUUUUGAAUGUUUUUAGACUUGUAUUCGUGUAAAGUUUUCAAAGUUUGGGGCCUAUUUUUUAACGAGUGGGGUACUCCCUACAUCAUCGAAAAAAUAAAGAAAAGAAUACGUAUUUAAGACAAACAGAUGCUCGUUAUUCAUGAUCGAAGUAAAAUUGAUUGACAAGAGGGUGUGAUUGAAUCUGAGAAGGAUUGCCUACAUAUUUAUGAGAUGGAGAAUCAAAUUACUGAUAUAGUUCUAAAGAAAAUAUGAUAUAUGUAAAAAUUUACAUGAAAGAUCACUUUUGACGAUAAGCCUAUAGGGAGGCGUUGGGGGAUGAUUUCUCAAUGGACUUAUCUUCACACAGAUGGGGGCGUUACCGAACUGCCUACAUAUCUCAGGAAGGGAAUCAAACCGUGUGUAUUUCAUGUGAGAUUUACUUUGUUUUAGGUCACUUGGAGAGGCUUGCAAGGGUUUUAAUUUUCUUUCUUCAACAAGGAUUUCAUCCAUCGGCACAAGUCCUCUGGUUUCUAUGUCAUUGAACCUUUUGCUGCUUGGCAUCAAUUCGGAGUAGUGAGGUGGGAUUCUAUCUUUAAAGGGGACUUUUGCCAUGGCGUAUAACCAUUCUCGGCCAAAGAAAGCGUUGUAUAGAGACAAAUUAUCCAUCACUUGGAAAGUCAUCAGAUGUUCAGAUGGUUUUGCUUGAACCAUGAAAUGUAUUGUCCCUAUGGUGUUAAGCGGGGUUCCAUUAAGGGUUUGGACAUUGGAUCUUCAUGAGUUGACUUCAUCUAGGAUGUUAAUUGAUAGGGAUUUUUACCAUCUACAAAAGUAGAGAUAAAAACACUUAAAAAUACUUGCAAGAGUACAAGGUUGUCGUAGUAUAGUGGUUUAGGCAAGGUCGUUUUCCACCGAGAUUGAAUGAAUAAUUUGUGUUUAAAACCAACACUUAAUUAAUUAUUUAAAACAAAGUUUGGAAAAUGUUGAUUUUAGAAUUUAAUAUAAUAAAAACGAAUUUUAAAAUAAAACAAUUAAAGAAAUUAACUAGAGAACAAUUUAAAGAAAAACAAUUUGUAAAAGCCUAGGGUUCCGCCGUCCCCUUAACAAUCCUACGCAAUUUUACUAAUUACUUAUGAAUUUCCACAUAUAUACUUUGAAGGUUAGGUUUUCCUAAUGCAUAUUUUCCUUGUGUGUUUAAGCGAAAACGUAUAUCUAACAUGCAACCCGUCUGUGAUGUUCAGAUCAAAUAUAAACAUGCAAGACUCAUUAAGCUUUAUGAAAACCCUUUGAAAAACCAUGCAACCCUUAAGAGCGUGAUAUUCACCUUAAGUGAACUUACAAUUACUAAUCACAAGAAGCCCUCCUCAAUUUCAGGGUGAUGUUCCAACAGAAAUUGCAUCAAAUUACUUGUCUAAAAACCCUAAUGGUUGCGAAUCACUAAGACAAUUAGAUAGUUUGAUCGCAGUGAUUAAUAAUUCAAAGUAAGCAUGCAUCCAUUCAUAAGCAAAUUAAUAAAAUCACAUAUUCAUGCUAAGGCUUGUGGCAUCGCCCUAGCAAAAGAACUUAGUUACGAACAAUCAUGAAACAAAAUAUUAUUGAGAAUAAGGAUAGAAAACGCCUAGAAAAUAAACUUGAAAAACUCUCUAAAGUGUGCGUGCGUUCUCUCCUCUCCUUCCCUUCUAACCCUAAUGGCUAAAAGGUCUUAUUUAUACUACUACAAAAUAAAACCUAAAAAGUCUUAGAAUAAAACUAGGAAACAUAAUAAAAUAAUAAAACAUAAAAUAAAAGGUUUCCUAUUUGAACUAAAAUUCGGAUUUCUUAGAAAAUCAGACUUUUGACCGACCAAAUUAACUCUGAUUUGUCCCAAAAAGUCUCUUUUGAAAGAUGGAGACGUCCCCUACAAAUCCUCAGAAGAAAUCUUCCUCAAAAUAUUCCAUCUUGACCUUCAAAAUGCCCAAAACGUCCAGAAAGGUCAGUCUGGAAAAGCUGCGCGCUGGGCCUUUAUUUCAUAACCACGGUCAAACGGCUUAGUAGAAAAAUAUAGAAUUUUGACACAAUCAUCUUGAAAGACUCACGAACAUCCUCCAAUUAGAAUUACUCUAAAAUUAAUCUGUUUGAUCACUUUUUUGCUCCAGAGGAAAUUGAAUGUCCAACUUUAGAAAUAUAGUUCAAAGUAUCAAAAUUCUACCAAAAUAACUAGGGUAAAUUACAUAGUAGCCCCUCAGGUUUGAGGUCUAUUACAACCCCAUACAACAACUUUAAAACAUUUCACUUUCAUACAUCCAUUGCCAUUUUAUUUCAAAAUAACACCUCUGUUAGAUUUUCCAUCUAUUAGUCUGUUAAAUGCUGACGUGGCUACCACAUUUAUGCUGAUGUGGCUGCCACGUGGAAAAAAUAUUUUUUAUACAUUAAAAAUAUUAUAAUAUUAACCCAAUUAAAAUAUUAAAAAAAACAUAAAAACCCUAACCUAGAUCCCCUUUCUCCCCCCUCUCUUUUAUGCAAUCCCUUCCCACUAUCCCUCACCCACCCCCCAGCGACCUCUCCCCAAGCGACCCACAUCCCUAUCCCUAACCUAGAACCCAAAAACCUGCAACAAGAAGAAGAAAAAGAAGAAGAUGAGGGAGGAAAAAAAAAACCCCCAGUUUGUCCCCUCUUCAAAACCUGCAAGAAGAAGAAGACGAAGAAGAGGGAGAAAAAAAAGAGAAAAAAAAGAAAAAAAAAAGCCCAGUUCGCGGGAAGGUCGCCGAAAGGUCGCGCGAGGGGGGGGGAAGGGAAGUCGGUCGCGGGUCGCGGCAGAGCGGGGGGAAGGGAGAUGGGUCGUGGGUCAUGGCAGGGCCGGGGGGGUUUUCUUUUUUUUUUCUUCUUCCUCCCUCUUCUUCUUCUUCUUUUUGUUGUUGCAGGUAUGUGGGUCGCUUAAAGGGGGUGAAGUCUUUGGGGGUGGGGUUCGGGGUGGGUAAGGGAUAGUGGGAAGGGAUUGCAGAGAGGAGAGGGGGAAGAAAGGGGAUCUGGGUUCAGAGGGUGUGUAGAGAAGGAAAGAAGGUGGGUGCGGAGGAAGAGAGGGUUGCGGGUUAGGGGGGUGCACAGGGAGGGUCGACGUUUGGGGGGGGGGGCGGGGGUGUUCUGGGUUUCUGGUUUUGGGGUGGGGGGUUAUCAUUUUUGGGUUUUAGGGAACAAGAUGAAGAUGGGGGAUAUAGGUUUGGGGGUUGCUGGGAGAAGAGAGGAUUUUGGGAGUUGCAAAAGGGUGGGGGUGGGGGAGGGGGGAAGGAAGGGAUAUGGAAUUCGGGAUUUUCUAGUUUUUUUUGUUUUUUUAAUUGGGUUAAUAUUAUAAUAUUUUUAAUGUAUAAAAAAUAUUUUUUUCUACGUGGCAGCCACAUCAGCACAAAUGUGGUAGCCACGUCAACAUUUAACAGACUAAUGGAUGAAAAAUCUAACGGAGGUGUUAUUUUGAAAUAAAAUGGCACUGGAUGUAUGAAAGUGAAAUGUUUUAAAGUUGUUCUAUGGGGUUGUAAUUUACCCUCAAAUCUGAGGGGUUACUAUGUAAUUUACCCAAAUAACUAAUAUAUUAAUACUAAGAUAAGGGUAAAAUAUAUGGUAAUAUGGACUUAUCACUAAUCCUUAUAGCUACCUCCUGAAGAGGAUAUUGACUUCCGAUCCGUUAUCGAUUAGGACUCUGCCGACCAUAGUGUCUUUGAUUUACAACUUGACUGCAAGAGUGCCAUUGGAUGGUGGGUAAACAAUUUAUGGCCUGGUUAAGGGAUCUUUCAUCCAAGGUUUUCCUUGGGUCAUUUUCCUUCCCUUCUGCGCUUUCUUGAAAUACUAUUGUCUUCUCCUUAUGUGAUUGAUGCCUGGAUGGACUUCAUGCCUAGGUGUUAGGGAGGCAGUGGUUAGGGAAUUUCCCGCAGUCUUGUAAAUUACACUACUAGGAGGGCUUCCUAGAUCAACUAUUGUGAAUUUGUCGUUCCUGGGGGAGCUCGAAUAGUAGAAUUUUCAAAUCGGGUGAAGGUACCUUCUACAGUUUUCAUUCUUUCAUUCAGCCUAGCGAGCUUCACCCUUUCUCCUACUUGUAGGUUCUUCUUGAGCACUUUUAUUGACAUGUGUACCUUCAGGACGUUAUCCCAGACCUGGUCGAUGAAAGAGGCUUCUUCUCUAUUCGGGUAUACGGUUUGACCAAACAGCAAUUUUCUGGACGUGGUAUCCGUGGAGCAAAGUGGUCUGGUCGAGAGGAAUAUGGGUUUUCUUUUAAUGAAAGCACCAAUUGUUGAAACCAAAUCUACGCACCUCCGUGAGCGGCGGUUGGGCACAAAUCCGAGUAAACCUGAACAACCUACAAAAGGCUCUUCGAUAGUCAAGCAGUAGGCAAGAGAAUUCAAAUGUAUAGGUUACGUUACUGUAGAUGAACCCUAAACGGGUGUAUUUAUACUAUGAGAGAGAGACAUUUUUAGGAUAGAUCCUCAUUUUAAGCCGGGAGAAUCAUAGAGGAUAUUAGUGAGUAGAUAUUGCAUCUUCUUAGGAGUUGUGAUCACUUGCGGAGCAUGCCUAUCCCUAAAUUGUAGGGACUCCAAGACUUAUAGGAUCUGAUUGUGUCCAUAUCCAGAUCACAUCACAUGUCUUGCAAAACAAGUAUGGUCAUAUGGUGGAGUCACUAGGACUCUGCCUAGGGCCCCAUAGUAGAGUGAUGGUGGCACCCUUCUCCAUUUGAUACAGCUUCACCCGGAGUUGGUAGUGAGUCCAUGAUUGAACUCUUGAGAUAACGGUAUUCGGUUUAGCCUUACUCCGAUCCUGAAAAAUCAUGGUCCCACAUGAGCAGACAAACAUAUUUAGGUGAUUCUGUAAAUGAAUAAUUCCAUCGUGUAUUACGGUGCUCCUACAGAAAAUGGUCCCAAAUUUCUAUCACUUCCAUUCAUUUAUCAGCAAUAGCCCAAACGCCAAACCUCAUUUUUUAAAAGUCACCUGGUAUUAAGCUAAAUAAGUCAAUUAAUUAAGUAUGUAAUUGAGUAAUUAACUAAUGGUGGUGAGAUGAUGAGAAAUGGAAAGUACAAGAGUAUCCUGCACAGAACCACCGUAAACAAGGACAAGACAAGAAUGUCAUGACUAGUGUUAUUGGAGCCGCCAGCAGGUCCUCAUUUACAGCUUGUGAACGCCGACAAUCCACCAGAGUAUAAGACCAAGAAGUAUGGCUACCAUGUUUACUGUAAGAUCAACAAGCAUCCCCAGUAAAUAAAAGAAAAACUAACGAAAAGUUAAAAAAAGACUUUAGUUUUAAUGAAAAAUGACAAAUAAAGGUGUAAUGAAUAGUAUCAGGGAAAAGUAAAAAUGUGAUUUUUCGUUAAAAGUGAACAAUACCAGGAGUAUUUGUUAAAACUCCCCAUAAAUAAAUACUAUGAAGUGGGUGGUUUUUGUUUUUUUUAUUUUUAUUUCCUUAUUUUGUGUUGGUGAAAUUGUGGGUGGUGAGUACCAUAUUUGUAUGAAAUAAUAAUUUGAAGUCAAGGUGAUGAGCAAAAUCUUACUCGAUUGUAUAUUAUUAUGGAAGUUGAGAUUUGUUGUCGGAUUCGACAUUCUUCUUAUCCCUCUAACUCACAACAAGUCUGAUCAAAUUCUCAUUUGGUGUCCAAGAUAAAUUUGAAUGAAUAGCCCACAAUAUUUAUUGUAUGUUGAACAAACAAAUGAAAAUUUUGUAUCCAAUUUAAAGUAAAAGAUGAAUUACUCAUACAGAAAACUUGUACAUUCAAAUUUCCUCCAAAAUGACAAGAUUCUUUGGGACACUUUGGAUGCGAUCCCUAGCUAUCAAUAUUCUUUGAUUGAAACCUUGUUAGUUUUUAGUUUUUGAUUGAGGUCCCUGAUAUUAAUGUAAUAAUGUAAGUUACUAUAUUUUUUUAAUUAAAAAUUAAAAAUUGAAAUUUGUAAUUGUUUAUAUUAAUGAGAUUUUAAAUAAAACCCAUAAUUUAUGGGAUUAAAAAUAAUAAAAUAUAAAUUAUUCUCUCUAUUAUAUUGUGUGUGUGUGUGUGUGUAUAUACAUAUAUGUAUGGGUACAUUAACCAAAAUUAACAAAAAAAGUUAUUGUACCAAAACAUGGAUACAUUCUCAAAUCAACGAAAAAGAAUGUACCCAUAUAAGUUUAAACAUGGAUUAAAAAAUUUGAAUGGAUUUUAUAUUAAAAAAGGGUACAUUUUACAUAUAACAAAUUGAUAUAUUUGAGAAUGGGUACAUUUAAGAUUAAAAAAAUUGAAAAAUUAUAUGAAUGGGUACAUUUAAGAUUAAAAAAUUGAGAAUCUUUUUAUAUAUAAAAAAAACUAAUAGGUACAAACUUAAUUUAAUUUAAUUUUUUAUUAUUUUGGAAAUGUUUGAAUUGAAAAUUAAUUAGAAGUUUAAUAGAGGUGUGAGUAUUAAACCCUAAAUUAAUUACUAAUUUUUAUAUUAAAAAAAUUAUAUAAUAAACAUGUAAAUUCAUUAUCACAUUAAUGCUAGGGACUUGAAUCAAAAUUAAGAACUAAUAAGGUGUUAGUCAAUGAACAGUAAAAACUAGGGACUGGAUACUAAUUUUUCCUUAAAAAUAUAACUUUCAUUCAUAUCUACUCAAAAUGAAGAAAACCAUUUACCUCUACAUUCAUCUUUAUGUACUUGGAAUUUUACGAGUUAUCUAUUACAAUCCUAGAAAUCAAAUGACCUUAAGAAACAAAGAAUCAGAAUAUUUAAACUUAGGACAUUGGAUACAAAAGUGUAUAUUCUUAAUCACUACAGUUCAUUUCUUAAACUUUUAUAGUUUAGAAUGCAUAAUCUAUAAAAGCUUUAUUUACAGAAGAAAAGAAAGAAAAUGAGGAGACACGAUUGAUUUGUACAAAAAUAAUAUUGUACAGGCAAAGUCACAUCCCAGAACCAAUUUUGGGAGAGGUUUUGUUUGUUUGCAAGUAAAACAAGUAGAUGUUUUUAACCUUUUACCCUCCAAAACAAGUUCAAGAACGUUCUACUAGUUAGAACAAUAAUAGUAGGGUGGAAUGCUGAUUUAAUCUCUGAAUUAUUACCUCAGUGAAAAUUAGGUCCCUGAAUUAUUUUUCGGUAAAAUAAGUCCCUAAAUUCAUUAAAAAUUGCUAAUUUCAUCCAUACUACUAUAUUAAAAGCUAGUUUAUCACUUUUUUGUCAACUUAAGUCACUUGACACAUUUUAAAGUAAAAUACCAACAUUUUCUCACGUAUAAGCCAUUAACAUUUCAUACAGGUUACCAAUCUAAGGUCUAAUUUUUACCCUCCAAAGUUAACUUCAUAUACUAUUUCUUUAUGUAAAAUUACUAAUCUACUCUCUAAUGUGUAUCAUAUGCAAGUACCUUGACUUAAGUUGACGGAAAAUUGAAUAUAAUAGCUUUGAAUAUAAUAUUAAGGAUGUAAUUGGCAGAUUUUUAAAAUUCAAUGAUUGAUUUUCCUCAAAAAAAUAAAAAUAUUAAAGACCUAACUUUUACUCAGGUGAUAAAUUAUUCAGGAACUAAAUUGGCAGUUCACUCAUAGUAAUAAUGACAGACCCCGACCUAAAUCAGGGCGUGCUAAUCGUCACGUGAGGGUGACGUAGCCAUGUGCACAGUGUGGAAGCAAUAGAGAUAAAAGGAAAUGUGAAUGAAUAAAAACCAUACUACUAAAAGUCCUAGCUAAAAUAAAGUGCUAGUGUGAGAUUAAGUGUGAAAUACACCAUCAAAGCAUAAAUAGUCUAAGUGCAGUUCAACUGGAUAAGUACUAAUUAUAUAACACCCGAAGGUGAUCCUACAUUUAAUAUUCUGUAAGAACCACCGACGAAAUCCCCAUGAGCCACCAAAGCACUUCUACUUAAAAUCUGGAGGGGCGCAAAACAGAAAGUGUGAGUGGGCAAAAACAAAGCUUUUCAAAAUCAGUUCAUUUAUCAAAAAACGCUAACCCCUUGUCGUAAAACCUGUAUAAUUUCCUAAAAAAUAAUAUAUGUUAUAUCAGAAAUCAUGCUCAGGAUGAAAAUCCAUAGAAAUAUAUCAUGCCAAAGUAUCUCAAAGAAAUGCUAUAAAUUAUUCAGUUAAAAUAUAUCAAUACCAGAUAUCAUAUCAGCCGGAUCCACCUAACAUGACCUGCCCAGUUGAGUUUAUAACUCAUAACCAAUCUUAAUCAUAUCAAAUCAUGCACACGAGUCGGAAACACCUAACGUGGUCUGUACGACAAGACUAGGUGUAAAAUAAAUAUGCUCUAGUGCUAUGAUCACGUGAAGACUAUGCAUAUGAUCACGGUUCACCUACGAGUCAGAACCACCUAUAGUGGUCUGUAGGACAAGCCUGUGCACCUAACUUGGAUCCAAGGUAAGCAUAUGGUGCAGGAGGUGAACAUCACAUGAAGGACUGUGCCUUAACUCUGGGCAGGAGCACUAACACCAGGGUGCAGGUUUAUGAGCUCUCAUUGCAUCACAUCAUAUCUCGCAUAACUAAAUCAAUCUCAUAUAUUUAAUUUAUGAACUUACCUGGCACUUACCUGUGCGUCCGCAGCACCAAUCAUAAAUAUAUGCUACUAUUAAUGCAUAAAUAAAAUAGGCAGAUACUUUGUAUGGCAUUUCAAAACGUAUAAUCAUUCAAAUUCAUUUUCUGGGAAAAAUCUCAAGUAUAUAGGUAUAUACGGAAAACCAAAAGCCCACUCACCGGUAUGUCGAAAGGUUGUAGCCCCCGAGCCUCGAAUGAUGGCGCUCGUCCUCUAGAUAGGUCUCACCUAUAUGCGAAAUAACUAAAUAAAUGUUAAUUAAAGCACACAACCACAAUUAGCUAAUAACUUCUUAUACAAUGCUCAAAUGAGGUGUUUGAAUAUACCAACGUGAUCUACUCAACACCACGAACAUCCCCAUAUUUUUAGAAAAAAAUUUCGAGCAUCCAAACACCCUCACGCGCUGGCCAAGGCACGGCUAGACAAGCGGCCCACUUGCAGGCACGUGCCUGGCACACCAAACGGAUUCCCUAACGGCGUUAAGGAAUAUUCCGUUAAAAACCAACAUAUACCGUUAAAAUUACCUGACAGCAUUAGCAUAUUCCGUCAACUUUGACGUAAUAUUCUCCUUCUUCCUCCUUGGUUCGCCGGAGUCUAGCGCCAAUGCCGUUGCUAUCAUCGGAAACUGGAAAAAUCCUAAAAACUUCAUAUCUUUUUCGAUUCUCAACCAAAAUUCAUGAAAUUUGUCUCAAAAUGAAGCUUAGAGUGAGUAGAACACAUUCUUACCACUUUCAAGCCUUGAAAUCCAUGGAAACUCGCCAAAGAAACCUCGAUAAUCCUGCCAAAAUUUGAAACUCGUCAAACUAAGCUUCCCGACGUCCAAAACAGUCCAACUUUCUUCCCCGAGCUUCGUGAAGACGUCCUAAAACUCCCUGGAACCUUAAAAGUCAAAGAAAAGUCCACAAUCAUAACUGCAUGAACAGUGCUCAAAAUCGGGAUUCUUGGGUUCUUGAGUUUUUGAAGGAUUCACGUUCUAAAAAUGGUAUAGAUGUGUUCCUGAGCUCACAAGGAACAUGAAGAUGGCUUCCAAAACCUCGAUUUGCGAUUAAUGAGCUAGGUUCGAGUUUGUCCGUACGGUUGUACGAAAAUGGAAAAAAAUCUGAUAGGGAGGAGAGAGAGAGUAAACGGGAUUGGUUGGUGUGUGUGUAUGGUCUAGCUUUGGGCUACUAACAACAACAAACCAUUAACUUUAAGUUCCGAAAACUUAGGAACUUAACAUAUUGGUCCACCUCUAAAAGUACGUCACACACAACACAUCUCAACGUUUAAGGGUAAAAUAGACAUUUCACACUAUCGAUAAAAAUAAUUUGGGACUGGCUGUGACAACCUACCUUCCUUAAGAAAAUUUUAUCCUCGAAAUUCACACAACAAAUACAAUCCACUAAUAAUCAUAAAACAACCUUGCAUACAUAUCCCUCAUCCUGUCCUCUGUCUCCCAAGCAGCUUCUUCCAUUGAGUGAUUUCUCCAUAAAACUUUCACUAAGCGCACGGUCUUGUUCUUCAGCACCUUAUCUUUCCAAUCCAAUAUCGUCACUGGCUCCUCAUCAUAAGUCAAAUCUGGAUUAAUUUCCAAAGGUUGAGGAGGUAUCACAUGUGACGGAUCUGAAAAAUAAUGACGAAGCAUGGAAACAUGGAAAAUGUCGUGCACUUUAGAUAACUCUGGAGGCAACUCAAGCCUGUAAGCAACUUCACCGACUCUCUCGGUGAUCACAUAUGGUCCGAUAUACCUAGGACUUAACUUACAUUUCUUCCCAAACCGAACCACACCUCUCCAUGGUGAAAGCUUAAAAAAUAUCCAAUCACCCACUUUAUACACCCUGCCAAUGGCGUGUUUUUCUGCUAAACUCUUUUGUCAAUCCUGGGCAGCUUUCAGGUUAGAUUUAAUUACUUGAAUAUUCUGAGUAGUCUCAUCCACAAUCUUAGGGCCCACCAAAACUCUUUUGCCAACCUCUGACCAACAUAAAGGUGUACGACAAGACCUGCCAUAAAGUGCCUUAAAUGGUGCCAUACCAAUACUUGAAUGAAAACUAUUGUUGUAGGCAAAUUCCAUUAAAUCCAACCGCUUAUGCCAAACGUCACUAAACUGCAAUACUGAAGAUCUCAGCAUAUCUUCCAGCGUCUGAAUAGUCAUCUCUAAUUGUCCAUCUAUUUAAGGAUGAUAUGAUGUACUAUAAAGUAAUCUCGAACCAAGAGCUUCCUGGAAUGCUAUCCAGAACUUAGAAGUAAAUCUAGGAUCACGAUCCGAGAUAAUACUAACUGGAACUCCAUGGUACUUCACAAUCUUCGAUAUGAAUAAUUUAGCUAAUCGGCUUAAAGAAUACUUCUCCCUCACAGAAAUAAAAUGUGCCGACUUAAUAAGCCGAUCAAUUAUCACCCAAAUGCCAUCAUAACCAUUCUGUGUACGAGGAAACUUGUACACAAAAUCCAUAGUAAUAUUUUCCCAUUUCCACUAUGGAACGGGAAGUGGCUGCAUCAAUCCAAAAGGUUUCUUUCUUUUUGCUUUGACAUGCCACCUACUCACAUAUUCGGCAAUUCUCUUUUCAUACCUGGCCAAUAAUAAAAUGGUCGAAUGGUAUGAUACAUUUUAGUACCUCUUGGAUGCAUUGCAUAAGCUGAAAUAUGUGUUUCAUCAAGAAUUGCUUUCUUUAAUUCCAUAUUAUUCGGCACAUACAUUCUACUUUCCUGCAUAAGCAUGCCAUCAGUUUCUCGAAUUCUGAAGUCUUUCUUCUUCCCCCGAUUCCUUGCUUGAAUUAUUUCCUGGGUCUCUUCAUCAUCCAUCUGGGCUUCAAGUACAUGAUCAAUUAAUAUUGGCCUGACUUGAAAUUUUGCAAGUAAGGCUUCCUCUCGAUCUUCCACUCCUAACUUCACUCCAGUGGACCUUAAAUCCGUAAGAAGAGGAACAUGACAAUCAUAAAUGACAUUAAGUCUAAUUGAAGGAACUUCAAGAUCAAGCCCCAACGACCCUUUGAAGGAACUUCCACCAAUUCAAGAUCAAGCCCCGACGGCCCUUGAAGAAAGCGUUCAUCGUUCAUCAUCCGUUCAUCCUAAGAUCAAGCCCCAACGACCCUUUGGAUCAACAACAUCAACAAAUCCACAUAUCCAAUCGUUUUUCAAGAUAAAGCCCAAAAUCCCUUGAAGAUCCAUUCAUCAACUGUUCAUCAAGAUCAAGCCCCAAAGGCCUUUGAAGAUCCGUUCAUCAACAAUUCUUCAAGAUCAAGCCCAAAAGCCUUGAAGAUCCGUUCAUCCAUCAACCUUCAAGAUCAAGCCCAAAGGCCCUUAAAGAAACUUCCCUCAACCUUCAAGAUUAAGCCCCAAUGGCCCUUGAAGAAAACUUUCAACCGUUCAUCCAAGAUCAAGCCUCGACGGCCCUUGGAUCAAUCGCACAUCCACAAAUCAACACCUUACGGAGAUCGAAUCAGAGGAUCAAAUUUGAGAGAGAUUGUAACCCCUAAAUCAUUAAUACAAAUAUUAUUUUGUACACGUGUUCUUGUCUCGUUCGUUUAGAAAUUUCCGUGUUUACAAAUUUGGCACGCCCAGUGGGACGUUCUCUAUCUUUGAAUCCGUAAAAAGCACAAAUGGCAUCAAAGAAGACUCAAGUCGCUCUCACAACCAAUGCAAGGAAUAAGAGCGUCAUCACCGCAGGUGGUGUCACUUCGGGCGUCACAACUCGAAGCAAGGCAAGAGCUCUUUCUGCCGCCUCUUCUAUUCCUGCAUCAACUCUGCCGAAGGAACAAGAGCACCCGAGGCACGAACCUAUGAUCAUCCUGGCCUCGCUAAGGGCGCUAAGGAAGGAAAGCCCAAGGAAGUACUCUGGUUCCAUGUUUUCCGAUGCCGACUCAAGCGGCAGCUCAGCCAUGCAAGUCAUGACUACUAGAGCAACUUCAAUCGAUGAGCAGUUGGCUCAUAUGAAUGAAGCGAUCGCAAGGCUAACACGGAUUGUGGAAGAAAAAAACCAGCAAAUCGUCUCACUCGUCAACCAACUAGAUGUAAAGCCCGACGUGAAAAUCGAGCAAGGGGAUGAUCCAGUAAAGAAGGAAAACGACGAGGAUGAAGAGCCUCAUGUGGAGAAAGUCGAAGAGAAACUAAAGCUAGACCAAUCAGCGGUAUUCAUAGGAUCUCUCUCGAUCCAGCAGCUGCAGGAGAUGAUCGCCAGCACCAUCAAGGCACACUACGAAGGAAGUUCACAUGACUCCGUACUAUACUCAAAACCCUACUCCAAGAAAAUUGACGUUUUGAAGAUGCCGAGGGGUUAUCAGCCACCAAAGUUCAUGCAGUUCGAUGGAAAGGGAAACCCGAAGCAACACGUUGCACAUUUCGUCGAAACCUGCAACAACGCGGGGACAUAAGGAGAUUACCUCGCCAAGCAGUUUGUACGCUCGCUGAAAGGAAAUGCCUUUGAGUGGUACACGGACCUAGAGCCUGAGUCCAUCAACAGCUGGGAGCAAUUGGAAAGAGAAUUCCUCAACCGCCGCACUGUGAGCAUACUAGAGCUGACGAGCACAAAACAAUGGAGGGAUGAGCUAGUUGUAAACUACAUUAAUCGAUGGCGCAAUCUAAGCCUCGACUGCAAGAACAGGCUCUCAGAGAUCUUUUCAAUCGAGAUGUGCGUCCAAGGCAUGUAAUGAGGGUUACACUAUAUCUUUCAAGGUAUUAAACCACGGACCUUUGAAGAGUUAGCCACCCGUGCCCACGACAUGGAGCUAAGUAUUGCCCAUCACGAGAAGAAAAAUUCGAUCACCGACUUCAAGAAGGAUAAGGUGUUCUCCCCAAAUGUAGACAAGACUGGGAAGAAACCCCCCAAGGAAGCGUUCACCGUCAGCACUGCACCUGUCAAGACCGCCUUUGCACCUAUCAAGAUCUCCUCCAAAACCAAAGCAAAGGAGAUAAAGAGAGGUGAGCCUCCUCGCACCCAAGAAAGGUACAAAAGCACCUUAAGGGAAUUGGAGCAGAAGGCGUACCCUUUUCCUGACUCAGACAUGGAUGCAAUGUUAGACGACUUGCUGGAAAAGAAGGUAAUCAAGCUACUCGAAUGCAAGUGGCCUGAAGAAAUGAAUCGCAUAAACGAUCCUAAAUACUGCAAGUACCAUCGAAUCGUGAGCCAUCAUGUGGGUAAGUGCUUUGUCCUCAAAAAGCUCAUCAUGAAGCUAGCAUAACAAGGGCGAAUCGAGCUCAACCUCGAAGGCACGGCCGCAACACAUACUACUACAAUUACAUUUGGAUCUUUCGAUCCUGUACCUCUUCAAACAACACUUGACCAUUCCUAUCAAUGCUCAAGUUGCACGAUACCUUAUGCGCAACCAUCGCCGGGGGCAAACGAACAAGAUGCACAUACCGAUGAUGAAGAAGGAUGGACAUUGGUGACCUACAAAAAAACAAGGAAACCAAAACCACAAGCCAUAAGACCAAAUGUGGAACAAGUGAGAAAGCAUCGUCGCCGCAACAAUAAGAAGCCCAAAAGAAACAUAAAAGCUGAUAAGCCAACAUAUGUUGGGGAACCUAUGGAGCAAGAGACACGCAUUCCUGUCUCCUUGCAUGAGUAUUUCUCGAAUGACUUCUUCCAACAGUGCACUAUCGCUGCAUGCCACAUGGUCGAAGUAGAAAUGGAAGAACCUUCAAAAGGCAAAGAUAUCACCACUGAGGGAGAAAAAACUCUCACGCUCGAAGAAGGUCUGCCAAUACACCUUAGCAUUGAGGAAGCGCUACGAUUGCCAAAGAAGAUGCGAAGAGCAUUAACAGCGGUCUUGGAAAGUCCCAAUGACCACGAAGCGCAAGAAAGCAAAGACGAAGGCUUGAAGCUUCAACCACAUGAAUACGCCACAUGUUGUGCCACCUAUGAUGCAAUCAACUUCACUGACGAAGAUUUACUACUGGGAUCAAAGCCUCACAACCGUCCUCUUUUUGUCUCGGGAUACGUAAAAGAGCACAAAGUCAACUGCAUGCUUGUGGAUGGUGGAUCAGCCAUCAACAUCAUGCCAAAGUCAACAAUGGCUACAAUCGGCAUCAAGGUGGAUGAACUGUCCUUAAGUCAUAUACUAAUCCAAGGUUUUAAUCAAGGAGGACAAAGAGUGAUGGGCAUGAUCCGUGUGGGGAUGACUAUUGGUGAACUCAAGUCAAGCAUGAUAUUCCACGUGAUUGAUGCAAGAACUUCCUACGACUUGCUCUUAGGAAGGCCUUGGAUCCAUGCAAAUAGAGUAGUACCGUCCACCCUUCACCAAUGCUUAAAAUUCUACUGAGAAGGAGUGAAGGUGAUCUAUGGUGACACCAAACCAUUCACCGAAGCCGAAUCACAUUUCGCAGACGCCAAGUUCUACAUGGAUGAAGACAUGGUGCCCAAACACCGUCAACAAUAAAGAAUGUGACCUCACUGAGACUCAAAAGAAGUUGAAGAAGCAUGGUUACGGAGUUGACAACGACAAAGCUGGACUUGGCUUCACACCAAAUGCACACGUGAAGAUUUCAAGCAAAGCAAAAAAUGCUAGCACUCAACACAUCAGCGUGAACAUUGAACAAGAUCAAUAGAAGCUUAAGUCCGCCCUUCGGACGUUAGUCUUUGAUAGGAUGAAUCGUUCAAGACCCAGAACGUCAGCACUUGAUCGCAUUGGUGGUCAAAACCCAACCUCCGUCUUCAAGAGGCUUAACAGGCCAACAUCCCAGCUCUCCUUCUCGUCGGUCGACUUUGGAAAGACUUGAAGACAACAGGAAGUUUUCUAGAAAUAGGGAGACAACGUCAAAGGAAGAAAAGCUCAACAGGCUAGCAGAAAAAGGCGAUAUUUGAAGCUGAAUUCCUUCAAGGAUGAAGUGCCAAGCAAUCUUGAAGGUUGACACAAAUGGACCACUGAAAGUAAGAAGGUGCAUCAUCAUCCGCACUGGACAAUCUUCAUGCCAACAAGCCCAAGAGGAUGACACUGAAUGGGAGAUCCAAGACAUCUUCCUCGUCACAAUUCAAAAAGGUAAAGGAGAUGAAAUCCCUAAGGAAGAAGUCACCUCUGUUU